AGGAUUAAAGCUCCCUAACAUGUAAUUAUAGCAAGAAGCCUUUAUAACUGCCCAAAUAGACUCUCUUUAUUGAGAACUCUAAUAGGCCAAUUUGGGUUGACAUGGAAGAAGAACUUAAUGCCCCAUUUGGAGCAUCAUAUUAUCUGAGUCAACACUUAAAUGUGGGACUGCAGAAUCCCAUAUUAUAAGAGACAGACAUCUUCACCUUUCCUGACAAGCUCUGCUUCUUUAUGGAACAACCAUAAAUACAAAUUAGGAGGAAAGGUGGUUGUCUGGAAAGACACAUUUUUUUUCUCACUUUUGCUUCAUGUGUCAACUUUAAUUUGAGUGUGGCUGUGGAAGACUGGUCCCGUGAUGAUGUCUGCAAGUGGCUGAGUACCAAUGAUCUCCAUGAUUCCAUCCCAUCAUUCCAAGGAUCCAUUUUGAGACGACAGAGCAGAAAACAAGAUAUGGAGAGAACUAAAAAAUAAAGGGUCAGUGGUCUAAAAUGAGUCUCUCUGGGGAGAGAGAG